rnacentral:lncRNA from 1 species
CCGCCGUACUGAUUAAUGGUUUCAACGCCGCUACCUCGACUUCGCUGACGGGGCUGUGGAACCUUCAGCACGAUAUCGUCGCCGUCGUCGUCAACGACCCCACCCCGAUCAUCGCCAUGCAUAGCGGCAGGCACAGCGGUAGCGGCUGCAUCAGUCGUAGUACGGCAGCCGCUUGCUGUGCCGCCGCCGACGGAGCUGCUAGCUCCGUCGCCGUCGCCGUCAGAGCCUCUCAGCGCCGUCCGUCCCGUACCAGCGGCGGAAUCUUGAUGAUCGCCGCCGUACAACGCAUCUGAUGCAGGUGCAGGAGGGCGCGGCGGGGGGCCCGGCGGUGCAGGGGAUGAAAUACCGAGACCCGUGGUGGCGCCGGACGCGGCUGAUUGCGCGGCGCCGCCGCCGCCGUCAGCAGCAGCAGCAGCAACGUGCACAACCGCACUUGCCCAGCAGCUCUGGAGCGCUUCCGUCACCCGCUCGCAUAAGGCCCCACAGGACGUCUGCCGACCUAAGCACCACAGCGCCGCCAGGGCACGGUAGCGCACUGCGCCAGGCAGCGCCGCCGCCGACCCCACCGCCGCCGCCGCCGGUAGUUGGCCCUGCUGCUGCUGCCCUCCGCUCCCGUUCUGGAUAGCCUGGCGGAGGCGCGGAGGCAGCAGCAGUCGUACUAACGGCCUGCAGCUCAGGAAGGGUGGCGGCAGCGCCAGC